AUUGAACGCUGGCGGCAGGCCUAACACAUGCAAGUCGAACGGUAGCACAGAGAGCUUGCUCUCGGGUGACGAGUGGCGGACGGGUGAGUAAUGUCUGGGAAACUGCCCGAUGGAGGGGGAUAACUACUGGAAACGGUAGCUAAUACCGCAUAACGUCGCAAGACCAAAGUGGGGGACCUUCGGGCCUCACACCAUCGGAUGUGCCCAGAUGGGAUUAGCUAGUAGGUGGGGUAAUGGCUCACCUAGGCGACGAUCCCUAGCUGGUCUGAGAGGAUAAGCAGCCGUACGGGAACUGGGACACGGGCCAGACUCCUACGGGAGGCAGCAGUGGGGAAUAUUGCACGAUGGGCGCAAGCCUGAUGCAGCCAUGCCGCGUGUAGGAAGAAGGCCUUCGGGUUGUAAAGUACUUUCAGCGGGGAGGAAGGCGGUGAAGUUAAUAACUUCACCGAUUGACGUUACCCGCAGAAGAAGCACCGGCUAACUUCGUGCCAGCCGCCGCGGUAA
rnacentral:rRNA from 1 species